rnacentral:rRNA from 1 species
GAGUGAACGCUGGCGGUAGGCCUAACACAUGCAAGUCGAACGGCAGCACAGUAAGAGCUUGCUCUUACGGGUGGCGAGUGGCGGACGGGUGAGGAAUACAUCGGAAUCUACUUUUUCGUGGGGUAUAACGUAGGGAAACUUACGCUAAUACCGCAUACGACCUACGGGUGAAAGCAUGGGAUCUUCGGACCUUGCGCGAUUGAAUGAGCCGAUGUCGGUUUAGCUAGUUGGCGGGGUAAAGGCCCACCAAGGCGACGAUCCGUAGCUGGUCUGAGAGGAUGAUCAGCCACACUGGAACUGAGACACGGUCCAGACUCCUACGGGAGGCAGCAGUGGGGAAUAUUGGACAAUGGGCGCAAGCCUGAUCCAGCCAUACCGCGUGGGUGAAGAAGGCCUUCGGGUUGUAAAGCCCUUUUGUUGGGAAAGAAAAGCAGCGGGUUAAUACCCCGCUGUUCUGACGGUACCCAAAGAAUAAGCACCGGCUAACUUCGUG